rnacentral:rRNA from 1 species
UACGUAGGUGGCAAGCGUUGUCCGGAUUUAUUGGGCGUAAAGCGAGCGCAGGCGGUUCCUUAAGUCUGAUGUGAAAGCCCACGGCUCACCGGUGGAAGGUCAUUGGAAACUGGGGAACUUGAGUGCAGAAGAGGAGAGUGGAAUUCCAUGUGUAGCGGUGAAAUGCGUAGAGAUUAGGAAGAACACCAGUGGCGAAGGCGAUUCUCUGGACUGUAACUGACGCUGAGGCUCGAAAGCGUGGGGAGCAAACAGGAUUAGAUA